rnacentral:rRNA from 1 species
CUAUACAUGACUCUGCGCAUAUCAAUAAGCGGAGGAAAAGUAACUAACAAGGAUUCCCCUAGUAACGGCGAGUGAAGCGGGAAGAGCUCAAAUUUGAAAUCUUAAAGGGUUUCCCUUUACGAAUUGUAGUUUAAAGAAGUGUUUUCUGCUGAGGUUUUGGUAAAAGUUCUUUGGAAUAGGACAUCAUAGAGGGUGAGAAUCCCGUAUUUGACCUUUACUUUCAACUUUGUGAUACACUUUCAAAGAGUCGGAUUGUUUGGGAAUGCAGUCCAAAAUGGGUGGUAAAUUUCAUCUAAAGCUAAAUAUUGGCGAGAGACCGAUAGCGAACAAGUACCGUGAGGGAAAGAUGAAAAGAACUUUGAAAAGAGAGUUAAACAGUACGUGAAAUUGUCAAAAGGGAAGCGUUUGACACCAGUGUUGUUUUUCUGAAAAUCAAUUAAAGAACUGUUUAUGCUAAGUUGUUUAGACUUUAUCAGCUAACUGUUUAGUUUUGAGCUUUUCUUUAAUGCACUUUUCAGUUAACAAGUCAACAUCAAUUUCUUUUGCUGUAAAAAAGCUUGAGGAAGGUGGCUUGAGAUUCGUCUUAAGUGUUUAUAGCCUCUUGCCUAUGCAGUCGGAGAGAUUGAGGUCUGCAGCGUAGAUCCUUCGGGGCUAAAUGCAUUUGUGCUAAGUUAUAGCAUUUUAUAGACAACUUGUUGACUAUGAUUUGUCUUGUAGCUUACUCGCUUAUGUUAUUUUACCUACGCUUAGGAUGUUGACAGCAGUAUAGACUGU